UGGCUCCGCCCGGGGAGCUGCUGGAGUACGAGGGAGCCAAGAAGGGCUCCAAGGACCUCUGCCUCUUCUCUGAGCUCGUUCUUAGGCCCCUCUGCCGUCUGCACGCUCCUUUCCAGCCACCCGGCCUCCCGAUGCCGGCCUAGCACGUUCCUCGCGCCAGGCUUUUGCAUCUGCCCUUCCCACUGUCUUUCGUGUGCAAACGCCACAGGUCCUGCGCACCGCACCCCUCAUGGAAUAGCGUCGCCUCCUCUCUACCUUCACACACGCCCCGAAACUUGCCUCUCAUCCUGUGUCUCUAUAGAUUUUUGCACCAUCUGACCGACGAACCCCUACCCUUCCCUAGACCAUGUCACGAUUCCGUCGCAUCCUCUGCCAUUGUCCCUCGGAAUAUU
rnacentral:lncRNA from 10 species